GACAGAGGGUGCAAACGUUGUUCGGAAUUACUGGGCGUAAAGCGCGUGUAGGCGGCUAAGCAAGUCGGGCGUGAAAUCCUACCGCUCAACGGUGGAAGUGCACCCGAAACUGCAUAGCUAGAGUCCUGGAGAGGAAGGUGGAAUGCUUGGUGUAGAGGUGAAAUUCGUAGAUAUCAAGCGGAACACCGGUGGCGAAGGCGGCCUUCUGGACAGUGACUGACGCUGAGACGCGAAAGCGUGGGGAGCAAACAGG
rnacentral:rRNA from 1 species